GGGCCCGCACAAGCAGCGGAGCGUGUGGUUUAAUUCGAUGCAACACGAAAAACCUUACCAGGGUUUGACAUGCUAGAAGUAGGAACCCGAAAGGGGGACGAACUGUUAAGUCAGUAGCUAGCACAGGUGCUGCAUGGCUGUCGUCAGCUCGUGCCGUGAGGUGUAUGGUUAAGUCCUGCAACGAGCGCAACCCUCGUUGCUAGUUAAUUUCUCUAGCGAGACUGCCCCGCAAAACGGGGAGGAAGGUGGGGAUGACGUCAAGUCAGCAUGGCCCUUAUGUCCUGGGCUACACACACGCUACAAUGGAUGGUACAAUGGGUCGCGACAUGGCAACAUGUAGCUAAUCCCCAAAGCCAUCCUCAGUUCAGAUUGCAGGCUGAAACUCGCCUGCAUGAAGUCGGAGUUGCUAGUAACCGCAUAUCAGAAUGUUGCGGUGAAUACGUUCUCGGGCCUU
rnacentral:rRNA from 1 species